rnacentral:rRNA from 1 species
GGUAACUCGGGGCAAGCAACGGGGGGAAGACAGAGGGGGCGAGCGUGGAGCGGAAUGACUGGGCGUAAAGCGGGCGUAGACGGGGUCGGAAGUCAGAUGUGAAAGCCCCGGGCUCAACCUGGGAAGUGCAUUUGAGACUGCGUAGCUAGGGUGCGGAAGAGGGAAGCGGAAUGUCCGGUGUAGCGGUGAAAUGCGGAGAGAUCGGAAGGAACACCAGUGGCGAAAGCGGCUUCCUGGUCCAGCACCGACGUUCAGGCACGAAAGCGUGGGGAGCAAACAGGAUUAGAUACCCGAGUAGUC